rnacentral:rRNA from 1 species
UUGAUCUCAAAUCAGGUAGGAUUACCCGCUGAACUUAAGCAUAUCAAUAAGCGGAGGAAAAGAAACUAACGAGGAUUCCCCUAGUAACUGCGAGUGAAGCGGGAAGAGCUCAAAUUUAAAAUCUGGCGUGCCUCUGGCCGUCCGAGUUGUAGUCUGGAGAAGCGUUUUCU